UACGUAGGGGGCUAGCGUUGUCCGGAAUCAUUGGGCGUAAAGCGCGUGUAGGCGGUCCGGUAAGUCCGCUGUGAAAGCCAGGGGCUCAACCCUUGGAUGCCGGUGGAUACUGUCGGGCUUGAGUACGGAAGAGGCGAGUGGAAUUCCUGGUGUAGCGGUGAAAUGCGCAGAUAUCAGGAGGAACACCGGUGGUGUAGACGGCUCUCUGGACCGUAACUGACGCUGAGACACGAAAGCGUGGGUAGCAAACAGG
rnacentral:rRNA from 1 species